GGGCGGACAUCGCACCAGCUUGAAGACGCUUCAGUCCUUCACUAGCUGAGCUGGAGCACGAAGGUCUCAGAGGAAGCAUGUGUCACAGCCCACCUGUGGAGAUGGAGGACAAUUAGUCUGUUGUCCUCACACCGUGGUGUAGGACUUGGGGGUCGAACUCAGGUGGUGAGGCUUGGCCGCAACCACCCUUCCCCUGCUGAGCCACCUCGCCAGCCCCAGCCCCGGAUCUGGCAGCUGACAGCAUCAUUGGCCCUCUCUACAGUACAGACUACAGGGGGGCGGGGCUGGUGCCAGGAGCGGAUUAGAUUGCGGAAUAUGUCCACAUUGCAGACGGCCGUAAUUCUUCCCUCCCUUCCUCUCUUUGCCAUCUCCCUUCUCUCCACCUCCCCCUCCCCCCCAACAGCCACUUCUUCGGUUUGUUACUCAGUAAAGAGAGAAUGCACUCAGCAUGAA